rnacentral:lncRNA from 1 species
AAGAGUCUGCUGUUUGGUGAUAGUGACAAUGCUGAGCCAGGAGGGAUGGAGGCACCGUGCCCUGUGACAGGCGCUCCACAGGGGCAUGACCCAACCUGGCUGCACGUCCAGUGAAAACUUUGAAGGUCAAUCUGAGGAAGAGGACCUGGCUGGGUGGAGAGUGAAGAAAGACUGUUCCAAACGAGAAGGACAGGAUGUGGUGAAGGUGCUGAAAUGGAGAAACAUAUGACCCUUUUGAAGGGCAGGAAAAUAUUCAGAUACAGCUGGAGCAUGUCGAGUAAAAGACAAAGUAGUAGGAGAUGCAUUUGCAGACCUUCUCAAUGACCAGUCAAGGCAAGACUUCAGAAGUCAUUUAAGCCCGUUGGACUUUAUCCUAAGAGCAAUAGGAAGCCGCUACAGUUCCUUCAGCAGCAGAGCCGCAUGGAGAGAUGGAGUGUUUAACAUUCACUCUGGAUUGCUGCAGCUGCAGUGGGUGAUGUGGAGAGAUCUGAUGAAAGGUAAAAAAUACAUCUUUACAAUAUUAGGUCUUUCUACCCAAGAUCAUGACACUUCUUGUUACUUAACCCUUGGUCUUGUGUAGUCUGCUGGAUGGAUGCUGAAGAUCCUGUGGAAGAUCCAAAGCCCUAGAGAGUGGCAAAGCGGCUAGAGGGAAGGAAUUUGGACCUCCAUAAACCAUUAUGAGAAAGACUAUCCACCCCAAACUCAUUUGCAUUAUGACAGGGAAGAUAAACCUUUCUGUUGUUCACCAACUGAGGUUCUAUGUUGUUUGUUUUUGUUACAGCAGCUAGUCGUCCCUGAUUUAUACGGUAUCCUAUAUUCUUGUCCCUAUACUCAAUGAGUUUUUAUUUUGCUUUACAUUUCCUAAAUGAUUACCUUAGAAAUCUUAAGAAAACUAUUGAUUUUGUCAUGUACUUUUAGAGAUAUCUUAAUCUUGUACAUUACUAAUUUAAAUGAUUUGUGUUGUUUUUCAAUUGAUUCUCUUGUGAUUGUCAGCUGGAUGUGAGCCUAACGAUGUUACUUGUCUGUUCCCUUUAGAUAGUAUUACUCUUAUUUGUUUCUUAAUUUAUUAGAUUUUAGAAAUUCUUCAAUAGUUAUGAAACAAUGGAGAGGAUAAAGAGCAUUCUUGAUUUUAUCUCAAAUUUAUUUAAAAUAUUAUGGUAUUUUACCCCAUUAUGUUCUUUUUAGAGAAAUAUAUAUUCUUUACCAUCAUUUUAUGCUAAUUUUUUUCAAGAAUGGGCAUUGAGGCCGGGCGUGGUGGCUCACACCUGUCUGUAAUCCCAGCACUUUGGGAAGCCGAGGUGGGCAGAUCACCUGAGAUCAGGAGUUCGAGACCAGCCUGGCCAACAUAGUGAAACCCCAUCUCUACUAAAACUACAAAAAUUAGCUGGGCAUGGGUGGUGGGCACCUGUAAUCCCAGCUACUCAGGAGGCUGAGGCA